GGGGGGGGGGGGGGGCGGGGGUGGGGCGUGGGGGGGGGGCGGGAGCUUGGGGGCUCGUGGCGCGCGGGUGCGUAAGGCGUGGGACGCUUCCCUGAGGGUCGGACUAACUCCCCGCAAGGGGCGCUCAUCCCGGCACCUUUCUUCUGACAAACGCUUGAUCUCCGUUGUAUGGGCCCUCGGUGGCGUAGCUAGUUGGUAGUGUUAAAGCAUACACAGGCGACUAUCCAUAGCUGGUCUGAGAGGAUGAUAAGCAACACUGGGACUGAGACACGGCCCAGACUCCUACGGGAGGCAGCAGUGGGGAAUAUUGGACAAUGGGCGAAAGCCUGAUCCAGCAAUGCCGCGUGAGUGAUGAAGGCCUUAGGGUUGUAAAGCUCUUUUACCCGGGAUGAUAAUGACAGUACCGGGAGAAUAAGCGCCGGCUAACUCCGUG
rnacentral:rRNA from 1 species